rnacentral:rRNA from 1 species
CCCGGUGAUCAUGGCGGAGGGGCCACACCCGUUCCCAUUCCGAACACGGCCGUUAAGCCCUCCAGCGCCGAUGGUACUGCCAGGGAGACCUGGUGGGAGAGUAGGACGUUGCCGGGA